GUUACCAGAAGUGUAGAUGCAACUAUGUUGGCUGUCUUUCUAACCAUUCCCAGGGCAUAAUUCACUUGAUUAAUAACAUAUUAAUAUUUGAAAUUAUUUACCUAUAAUACUGAGUAGGGAGUACUGCAUAUUUAAGAACACAUGGAUUUUUAGAGUCAAUUAUUUUUUUCAAUGUUAAAGAUCCUCCAAAUAACUAUUCCUUUAAUCUCAUGAUUAUAUCUACCCACGUUACACAUACAAUGGAACCACUGACUUGACUAUCUACAUCACUAUUCCCUCUGCAAGUGUCCUCUGACUGACUUGGUUUUUAAUUGGGGGUGGGGAACAAUGAUGCUGCCAUUCUCUUAAUGCUUUGGAUAUGAACUCUUGACUAGUGAUUCUUCAUUGUCCUCUGAGCCAUGAAGAUAACACAAGUGACUAACUCAGCAUGAGUCGAGGCCUAGCUUUGCUGGUGUGUAAUCUUCAUGUAGAAAGCAUUAGAAGUGAUUUAUAAAAGUAAUAAAAUAAUUCUCUUUGUACACACUUAAUAACAAAUACCUUUGUAUAUCACAUUUUCUUUAACCAUCCAUCCACUGACAUAUUUAAGCUAUUCUCACAUAUUGCCAAUAAUGCUGUAGUAUAUAUAGGAUGGUGUGUAUCUAUAAUAGUUCUUUUUUCACAUUUUAAGGCGCCUGCAUACUAUUUUCCCAUAAUGGCUGUAUCAACGUACAUUCCCUUCAAUGAUGUGUAAGAGUUCUCUUUUCUC
rnacentral:lncRNA from 1 species